CACGUAGGGGGCUAGCGUUGUCCGGAAUCAUUGGGCGUAAAGCGCGUGUAGGCGGUUUGUCGCGUCUGCUGUGAAAAUCCGGGGCUCAACCCCGGACUUGCAGUGGGUACGGGCAGACUAGAGUGUGGUAGGGGAGACUGGAAUUCCUGGUGUAGCGGUGAAAUGCGCAGAUAUCAGGAGGAACACCGAUGGCGAAGGCAGGUCUCUGGGCCACUACUGACGCUGAGAAGCGAAAGCAUGGGGAGCGAACAGG
rnacentral:rRNA from 1 species